GACGUUUGACCACUAGGGGCUCUAUGAUUAGCAACACUUUCACCUAUUGCAACCAAACUUGGUAUGUGGACUUAGGAUCAAAGAUCAGAGCUAACU